rnacentral:rRNA from 1 species
CGGACGGGUGAGUAACACGUGGAUAACCUACCUAUAAGACUGGGAUAACUUCGGGAAACCGGAGCUAAUACCGGAUAAUAUAUUGAACCGCAUGGUUCAAUAGUGAAAUACGGUUUUGCUGUCACUUAUAGAUGGAUCCGCGCCGCAUUAGCUAGUUGGUAAGGUAACGGCUUACCAAGGCAACGAUGCGUAGCCGACCUGAGAGGGUGAUCGGCCACACUGGAACUGAGACACGGUCCAGACUCCUACGGGAGGCAGCAGCU